GGAUUCCCCUAGUAACUGCGAGUGAACCGGGAAAAGCUCAAAUUUAAAAUCUGGCGGUCCCUGUGGCCGUCCGAGUUGUAAUUUAGAGAAGCGUUAUCCACGCUGGCCCGUGUACAAGUCUCCUGGAAGGGAGCAUCAUAGAGGGUGAGAAUCCCGUCUUUGACACGGACUACCAGGGUUUUGUGAUACGCUCUCAACGAGUCGAGUUGUUUGGGAAUGCAGCUCAAAGUGGGUGGUAAAUUCCAUCUAAAGCUAAAUAUUGGGGAGAGACCGAUAGCGCACAAGUACCGUGAGGGAAAGAUGAAAAGAACUUUGGAAAGAGAGUUAAACAGUACGUGAAAUUGCUGAAAGGGAAACGCUUGAAGUCAGUCGUCCUGGGCGGAAAUCAGCCUUGCUUUGCUCGGUUUACUUUCUGUUCGGGGGGUCAACGUCAUUUUCGGCCGGCGGACAAAGGCUUGGAGAAUGUGGCACCUUCGGGUGUGUUAUAGCUCCUUGUCGGUAUACGUUGGUUGGGAUUGAGGACCGCGGCGCGCCUUUAUGGCCGGGCACUUGUGUCACGUACGCGCUAAGGAUGUUGGCAUAAUGGCUUUAAUCGACCCGU
rnacentral:sRNA from 1 species